CUCCGCGCCGAGUAACUGCUCCGAAGUGCGCGGCUGCUGCGCGGGGCCGGGCCGAGCGGGGGCCGCCGGGGAGGGCGCGCGGGGGGCGGGCUGCGCGCGCCGGGAGAGGGGCCGCCCGCCUCCGGGGCCGAGCGCGGCGCAGGUCGGCCCCCGAGCCCCGCGUCCGAGUCGGGGCGCCGCCGGCCCCGUGCUGGGGGCGCGCUCGGCGAGCAGGACGCGGCCGCGCUGCGUGGACCGGGGGGCCGGGCGCCCCGAGCUCGCUCUUCAGCGCAGCCUCGCUGCCGCGCCGCCGGCCUCGGAGGCCUCAUUCCCCGUCAUUCUGCAAAGCCGGUGGCGAGGAAUUCGUUCAGACUCGCAGAGGAGGGCAGAGGGAGUUCGUGCUCGCUCCUGGGUGAAGACGCGCGGGUCCCUGCCCCGCGGGCGCUCCCACGGGCGCCGCGGCACUCAGACGUCGGCGGCGUGUUUGCAAGACACGCAAAGGGAGCACUUCGGGGCGGUCCCGGCCCUGCGCGGGGCACCCGGACACCCGCAGGUGCAGCGCAGUGAGGAACGGGGAGCAGCACGGGGUCCCCCCGGGAAAGGGGAGCCCGCGGCUGUGCAGGGCCAGGACCCCCGCGCCCCCAGCCGGGAGCGGCCUCGGCCUCCCCAGGGCCCCCUCGGCGGGACCACGGAGGCGGAAAACGCAAACUCGGCGGGAGAGCGGCAGCUCGCGGUCCGCUCCGGUUGCGCGCGGCGGGCCUCCCUCUAGCGGCCGCGCCCGGGAAUCGCGCGGGGGGCGGGGGGCCGUGCGCGCCUGUGUGCGCGCCCGUGAGCGCGAGCGUGUGUGCGUGCCCGGGAGCGAGCGGGACGGGGUCCCCGGGAGCGCUCCUCCUGCCGGCGGCCGCCGUGCGCUCGCGGGGUCCGAGCCGAGCUGCUGCGGCGCGUCACCCCCAGGCGCUGCCAACUUCGCCAACUGGCCUCAGCGCCCGCGUGUGCCCCCGGGGCCGGGGGGCGCACGGCGGGGCGGGGGGGGGCGGGAGAACCUCAGUAACGCACACAACUCAUUUUAUUCCUGCAAAUAAACAGGCUCCGCGUGCACA
rnacentral:lncRNA from 12 species